rnacentral:rRNA from 1 species
GUCCACGCCCUAAACGAUGUCUACUAGUUGUUGGUGGAGUAAAAUCCAUGAGUAACGCAGCUAACGCGUGAAGUAGACCGCCUGGGGAGUACGGUCGCAAGAUUAAAACUCAAAUGAAUUGACGGGGGCCCGCACAAGCGGUGGAUUAUGUGGAUUAAUUCGAUGCAACGCGAAAAACCUUACCUGGCCUUGACAUGUAACGAACUUUCCAGAGAUGGAUUGGUGCUCGAAAGAGAACGUUAACACAGGUGCUGCAUGGCUGUCGU